GAUGAACGCUGGCGGCGUGCCUAAUACAUGCAAGUCGAGCGAACGGACGAGAAGCUUGCUUCUCUGAUGUUAGCGGCGGACGGGUGAGUAACACGUGGAUAACCUACCUAUAAGACUGGGAUAACUUCGGGAAACCGGAGCUAAUACCGGAUGAUAUUUUGAACCGCAUGGUUCAAAAGUGAAAGACGGUCUUGCUGUCACUUAUAGAUGGAUCCGCGCUGCAUUAGCUAGUUGGUAAGGUAACGGCUUACCAAGGCAACGAUGCAUAGCCGACCUGAGAGGGUGAUCGGCCACACUGGAACUGAGACACGGUCCAGACUCCUACGGGAGGCAGCAGUAGGGAAUCUUCCGCAAUGGGCGAAAGCCUGACGGAGCAACGCCGCGUGAGUGAUGAAGGUCUUCGGAUCGUAAAACUCUGUUAUUAGGGAGGAACAUAUGUGUAAGUAACUGUGCACAUCUUGACGGUACCUAAUCAGAAGGCCACGGCUAACUACGUG
rnacentral:rRNA from 1 species